rnacentral:rRNA from 1 species
CAUGCAAGUCGAACGCACAUCUUCGGAUGUGAGUGGCANACGGCUGAGUAACACGUGGGUGACGUACCUGUUGGUGGGGAAUAACUGCCCGAAAGGGUGGCUAAUACCGCAUACGUCCUGACGUUCGUUCGUCAGGAGAAAGCAGCAAUGCGCCGAUGGAGCGGCCCGCGACCGAUUAGCCAGUUGGCAGGGUAACGGCCUACCAAAGCGACGAUCGGUAGCUGGUCUCAGAGGAUGAUCAGCCAGACUGGGACUGAGACACGGCCCAGACUCCUACGGGAGGCAGCAGUUAGGAAUUUUGGGCAAUGGGCGCAAGCCUGACCCAGCAACGCCGCGUGGGUGACGAAGGCCUUCGGGUUGUAAAGCCCUUUUUUGGAGGAAGAUGAUGACGGUACUCCAGGAAGAAGCACCGGCUAACUACGUGCCAGCAGCCGCGGUAAUACGUANGGUGCGAGCGU